ensembl:lncRNA serine/arginine repetitive matrix protein 1-like
GCCAGUUGUAGACAGAGAGGAGAGAGAGAGAGGCUGAGCGGUAGAUCAGCGACUGCUGGCGUGAAUAUGGCGGAGACCGUACGGUCGCAAUUCGAAUAUCGCGAACGGCACAACACGGACAGCGACGGAGAAAGCGUCAAACCAGUGGCACCGCUUCGUGGGCGUGGCUGCGGAAGGAAGAGAAAAGGAACACCCGUGAAAGUAUUUGUUCCACAUGUAGAGGAGGAGAGCGUGCCAGAAACGAGCAUCAAUCCAGGUGAUCGUAGGGAAUCAGGAGAGAUCAAGCGACCCAUGAUGGACAGGCUUACCAACCACACAGAGUCAGAUCCUCAUAAUGGUAAAUCAGAGCAGAUCCAUGAGAAAGGCUCUGCUGGAUCAAAGAACAGCUCCUGCUCCGCCUCCACCCCAGCUUCUACUACAGUGACAUCAUCAGCCCCAUCAUCAGCACCCGCUCCUGCACGGACCACCGUGACCCCAGCCCAGACCCCCACACUGACCCCAGCAUCCACAGCCCCGGCGGUCCCAGAAGCCUCCGCUCCAGCGGCAACAGCCAGUCCCUCCCCUCCCUCCCCAAACUGUCGUAUAAGAGAAGUGCACUGUGGCAGCCAAGUACGCCUGGUGGUGAUCGCCAUCAGAGAUAUCAACAAAGGGGAGGAGAUCACUGUGGACUACAGCCUGACAGAGUGGGGAGAGAAUCUGGGUUUUCGUGGCACUGUGUCCCCAGCACGACACGAGUGUAACUCCGAUACAGAGAAUACCAAUGUCAAAAAGGAGGAGGAACCUCUCUCCCUGACAUCCCAGCGGGGUCAGCCUCAACAACCCCCGCAACAACAGCAGGACUUUGUCACCCCUUCUUGGUCCCUCUCCCCAUCCUCGUCCCCAAUCUCCCACUCUGAUGCCAGUGACUCAGAUGCAGGAGACCAUGACAAAUCCAGUCCCCGUGGACGUGCACCAAGACGGCGCAAGAAGCGUCGCAGUACGCCUUUGAAGAAAAAGAUCCCUCAUCGAACCCCAGCGGGGCGGUCACAGGCAGUCUCCUCCUCAGGUGUCCCUAAUCAGAACCGUCCAAUUUGUUCACCGCAUCCACCAGCUAACUCGCCCCCCGUCUGCUCGUUGUCUCUUUCUUCUUCUGUCAAUUCUGCGUUCAAACCCCCCGCUCCUGUCAGUUCCAGCUCAGAAAGCAGCUCCAACACACACACUCCCAGAAGACCAGUGUCCACAGACUCCACACGGCAAACAUGCGAGUACUGUGGACGUCACUUUCGCUCUUUGGGGCGCCACUUGGAUAAACACCACUCCCAUCAGCCAGAUGUGUGCUCUGCCCUCGUUGAACGCUACACACAAACACCCCAUCUGCACAAGCUCACGUCCUCGCUCACACCGCAGCAAAAGUUGGCGAAAGCUUCAGGAGAGAAACGCAACUCAAAUAUCCAGGACCUGUCUAUGUCCCCGCCCACUGUCACAGCAGCUAACCAAUCCCCUUCCACCACGGGAAGUGCGUCCUCUCAUCCUGUUCUGAGUCCUCCACGAGGACAGAAUGCGGUGCCGGUUUCUGUGUUAAAAAUGAGCCCGCCCCCUUUGUCUACGAGCCAGUCCAAGAAAGGGACGAUAAAGAGACUCAAGACGGAAAGUCAGUCAGCUCACACGAAGGAUGAGGACGAGGAUGAGGAUGAGGAAGUCGAAGUGGAGGUUGUUGAGGUAACAAGGCCCAAAGAGGAAGACACACAGCUGCUGUGCCCUCGCCCUUUCAGCAGUAAUUCUGCCAAAGAUGUGCAGCAUCAACACAAAGAGGAAUACAACGACGACGGAGAGGAGGAAGAUGAGGAAGAGGACGAGAACGGAGGAAUGGAGGUGGACGACGAGAGUGGUGCAGAAGAUGGAGAAAAGGACUUACUCAGUAGUUCUGGGCGUCACCAAAUGCUCCCUCUUCUCUCCUCGCUGUCAUCGCUGGUCCUUUACCUUCGUCGACUGCAGCACUCGGCCUUCUUGUCUCUGUCACGCCAGCUGGAGUCAGCUGAGGCCUGGCGUCUCCUGUGCCACUCCAGCUUGGCUCUUCUCAUUCUGUACAACCGACGGCGUGAGUGUGAGGUGUCCAAACUGUCCAUCACGGAGUACCAUUCCCGCAUCACUCCUCAAUGCCCUGUUCCUGUCCCACCUGGCGCUCCCCCGGCUCUCACACCCCUGGAGGCCUCCCUCUCUCCCUUUGAACGCUUGGUGCUUCCUCACCUCCCUCGAGUCGGUGUUCAGGGGAAACGUGGACGCGUCCAGCCUCUCAUCCUUCCACCUCACUGCGAGCCCUGCCUGGACCUUCUCCUCCAGACGCGGCAGGAUGUAGGAGUCGAUCCUACGAACCCGUUUGUCUUUGCCCGGCCAUACCACUCUCCUGCCACACCACUUCGAGGUACCGACCUUCUCCGCAGCUUGGCACGCUCCAGCGGGACCCGUAACCCCCGCGCGUUGACGCAGACCAGAGUUCGCCGUCAGGUAGCGAUCCUGACUCAGCUGCUGCUUCUGGGUGAAGGAGAGGAGCUCCAACAGCCUGGAGGAAAUGCUGUGGAGAGGCUCGAGCACUUCCUAGAAAGGGAGUACCAUGUGACACAGAACUGUGCAGGGAUUGGUCAAGAUCCGGGCCUAAUGGGCAGAGUGGGCAGAGUGGUGCUGUGUGGAGAAAGAGAUGGAGUUCUGUUCAGAGGAAUGAGCUUAAACCACAUCUGUCUGGAACUAGAUGUGAUGUCAGGAAACUCUGCAGAUUCUUACUCGGAAGGCGAAUCUGAUGGGGAGCAAAUGAAGGAGAAGCCUGAAGUCCUAGCCCCAGUUUCCGCCCCCACACCUACCCCCACCCUGCUGUACGUCAGGAAAGGCAAGAACAAGGGGCGUGUGGGAAGACCCAAGAAGCUGAAGAACUUACAAUUGUCACCCACACUUCUUCCAUCUCUCCCUGUGAACACCAAGAGAGGUUCAGGGAAGCGAGGUGUCCUCAAACGGCCGUGGUCGGAGGCGGAGCGCGCCGCUGUGGAGGAGCACCUGACACAGAACAUCAACGAGCUCCGGGUUCCGGCCAAAGCUGACUGUGAACGCUGCCUGCAGCAGUGCCCCCUGCUGGUCAGCAACCACCGUGACUGGAGAGCCAUCAAGUUCUACUGUCAUAACCGCAUCCAGCUGCUGAAGAAAAACCAGCGUCGGGAGAAUGAUCCUCAGCCGCUGACUGUCUACUGAGGGGGAAUGUUCAGUGAGGGGCCGAAGAGAGGAGUUCAGAAAAAGUGCAGCUGCAGUGUGUGUGUGUGUGUGUGUGUGUGUGUGUGUGUGUGUGUCAGUGGCGGCUGGUGCAUUUUUCUCCAGGGGGGGCUACAACUCCAAAAUAGACAUACACCAAAAACAGGGUUUGUGCAGCGUUGAACAAAUAAGGAGGGAAAAUUGCAGUCACAUAACGGCUUUAAAACUAAGCUCAUGUAUUGUCACAGAACCCAUAAACAAGCAAGAACAAAUACAAUGGAGUGAGUGCGUGUCAGGGUUAUUAUACUUUUUGAAAUGUAAUUUGUUUUUAUUUCAAUUUAGUUUUUCAGAUUUAAAAAAAAAAAAAUUAAGUUAGUUUAAUAAGUAAUUAAAUAAAAAAGGGUGUGAAAAAAGAAGUGGUAAAUGA